AUUGAACGCUGGCGGCGUGCUUAACACAUGCAAGUCGAUCGGUAACGCGGGGGCAACCCUGGCGACGAGAGGCGGAUGGGUGAGGAACGCUUGGGAAUCUGCCCUUCAGCGGGGGACAACACGGGGAAACUCGUGCUAAUACCGCAUACGCUCCACGGAGGAAAGCCGGGGACCGCAAGGCCUGGCACUGAAGGAUGAGCCCAAGUCGGAUUAGCUAGUUGGCGGGGUAACGGCCCACCAAGGCGACGAUCCGUAGCUGGUCUGAGAGGACGAUCAGCCACACUGGGACUGAGACACGGCCCAGACUCCUACGGGAGGCAGCAGUGGGGAAUAUUGGACAAUGGGGGAAACCCUGAUCCAGCGACGCCGCGUGGGUGAAGAAGGCCUGCGGGUUGUAAAGCCUUUCGGUAGGGACGAAAGCUCUCGACCUAACACGUCGGGAGGUUGACUCAACCUACAAAAGAAGCACCGGCUAACUCUGUGCCAGCCGCCGCUGUAAAAC
rnacentral:rRNA from 1 species